rnacentral:lncRNA from 1 species
GAACCCUACAACUUCGUGGGUGCGCUCAUGUCCGAUGUAUUCUUGAUUGUGUUUAUAUAAAACACCUCUCAGCAAAGGGUGAAGAACACUGUGGAAAAUGCCAAAAGUAGAUCCAAGUGAGGUCGACAGUGAAGUCACACCAUCCCUCCCUCCUCUUCUUGAUAAGUUACAUGCAGUAGAGAGAACAUAAACAAGGCCAUGAAGCAUACAAAGAAGAGAUUCUCUUUCAUUUCCCACGCCUUUGCUGAAUUCUUUCACUCACAGGAUCUCAUUAAAUCCUCGGAAA